GGAAGGGGCGUUAGACCAGCCGAGACCGGGAAGCCCCAGGGCCCCGCCACCGAGCACAGCAUCCUCCCAAACCCCGCCCCACGGCGAAGGAGAAGGGCGUUCCACUAGGCAUCCCCCAGAAACUAGCCUGCACCUCCCCGGCCUUCUUCCAAUCGGGAAGGGGCGUUAACGGGGCUACCACGCUGGCGCUCCUCCGACCUCCGGUCGACCCCUCUGGGGCCCUCCCAACCAAGAGCUCUGCCCCCUGCCCCGUUCCAAGUUGGGGUUCCUCAGCUCCUCGCAGUUCCCCAGGGGCGGGCCCGGUCAGGCCGUCCCCCGCCCCUUGAACCUACCGUCCUUGGCAGGACAAGGGGCUGCUCUGAAGCCAUUCCCGGUUGGUUCCCUACCCGUGCGCUUCUACCUCUGAGCAGUCCCCGCCGCGCGACUGCCCUCACCGCUCGCCUCCGGAGCUGCGAGGACUCGGCUCCCCCCGGCACCGGCGGCCUGUCCUCCGCGUACAGCUCCAGGACCUGGGUGUAUGAACACUGCAGCUUGACGGUCAUCUUCACAUGGAAGCUUCUCUCUGUGUCACCUGAGGGUGCUCACCACAGCAUCCAGCCCCCAGAGCAAUCCCUAAGAAGCCACCAUUUUUGUAAAAGGAACACUAUGGGCAUCUUCUUGCCAAAUGUUCUUAAAACAGCAUCAUCUGAGACGCCUUGGAAAGGGCAGAGGGGCAUCAAGAUGACAGGCCCCCUCCGUGGCCUGGCCAUCCUGUGCACGACCGCCGGGAGAGAUGGGCUCUAUACGCCCUCCUGAUGGAAAUCCUCGGUUGCUGCAGGGCCCACUUGGGUUCUGUGUCACACGGAAGGACCCUCUUCUCCUGGAGCAAGGAUCUUCCCAGGAUGGUGCCUCAGACAGGAAGCAGCUGAGCAGAGGGAUCCCUGGGCCCUUCCGAUCUGCACCCCAGACCACAUGCAGGAAGAUUACAGGCAGAAUUCUACUCACAGGAGUGUUUGGUUGGUACAGCACAGUGACAUUUUUAAUUGAAUCAGAAACACACAUAAAAAUUCGGAGAUUAAGGAUUUGAAAUCUAGAUUCUUGUCUUCUUUUGGAGAAAGACAAGAGUUACCCAUGGGCUUACAGCUCUACAGCUUGGCCAAGGCAGCUCUCCUGACAGGGCAGGUCUGGGGACAGCUGGGGCAGCUCAUAUGUAAACUAGGAUGCAGGGACAGCAGCUCUAAGGGGAAGCUCAUCUCCUGGAGGAGAUCAGAGGCUUCUAAAAGGGUAAGCAUGAGUACACGAUGCCUCCAAGACCUGGGCUCCAAACUGGCCCACAGUUUAUUUCACCCACCUACCCUUGGCCACAUGAGACAUAUGGACCAACCCCAUGAAUGGGGCAGAUAACUCUGCAUCCUGGAGAGAGAAGCUGCAGAGUCACAGGGCAAAGGAUGUGGAUACAGGACAUGUAGUGGACUGAGCAGUGCUCCCCUGAAAAACGCAUGUCUGCCCAGAACCUCAGACAGGGAUCUUAUUUGGAAAUGGGGUCUUGGCAGAAGUGAUGAGUUAAGAUGAAGUCAUACUGGAUCAGAGUGCACCCCUAAUCCAAUGUGACUGAUCUCCUUAUAAGAAGGGAAGUAGAGACACUCAGGGAGAAUGCCAUGUGACAGUUGGAGGCAUAAAUUGGAGGGAUGUGUCUACGACUCAAGAAACGCCGGGCUUCUCUGGUGGCUCCGUGGUAAAGAAUCUGCCUGCCAAUGCAGGAGACAUGAGUUUGAUCCCUGAACCAGGGAGACCCCACAUGUCACAGACCAACUAAGCACCACAACUCCUGAACCUGUGCUCUAGAGCCCGGGAGCCACAACUGCCGAAGCCCAUGCACCUAGAGCCUGUGCCCCGCAGCAAGAGGAGCCACAGCAAUGGGACGCAUGCUUCCACUAGAGAGUGGCCCCUGCCCACCACAACUAAAGGGCCACGCAGCUGCGGAGACUCAGUGCAGCCAAAGCAAACAAAUAAAGAUAUGUUGAAAAGAACAGGCUCAGAAUAUUCUCUUAAAAAAGGAAGAAAUACCAAGGAUUUUUGGCUAUGAGGAGCUGGGAGAGAGUCACAGAGCAGAUUCUCCCUCGCAGAAGGAACUAACCUCGCUGACACCUUGAUUUCAGAUCUCUGGCCUCCAGUAAGCCUCUGUCAUGUAAAGCCACCCAAUUUUGCGGGUAUCUGUUGUGGCAGUCCUAGGAAACGACUACACGAUGGGCAAGGAAUCGGGAACAAUGAUAGAAUCUUCCGCAAAGGGCCCUCUUGGACUCAGUUGCUGCUGCUGCUGCUAAGUCGCUUCAGUCAUGUCCGACUCUGUGCGACCCCAGAGAUG